rnacentral:rRNA from 2 species
AGAGUUUGAUCAUGGCUCAGGAUGAACGCUGGCGGCGUGCCUAAUACAUGCAAGUCGAACGAGUUCUGAUUAUUGAAAGGUGCUUGCAUCUUGAUUUAAUUUUGAACGAGUGGCGGACGGGUGAGUAACACGUGGGUAACCUGCCCUUAAGUGGGGGAUAACAUUUGGAAACAGAUGCUAAUACCGCAUAAAUCCAAGAACCGCAUGGUUCUUGGCUGAAAGAUGGCGUAAGCUAUCGCUUUUGGAUGGACCCGCGGCGUAUUAGCUAGUUGGUGAGGUAACGGCUCACCAAGGCAAUGAUACGUAGCCGAACUGAGAGGUUGAUCGGCCACAUUGGGACUGAGACACGGCCCAAACUCCUACGGGAGGCAGCAGUAGGGAAUCUUCCACAAUGGACGCAAGUCUGAUGGAGCAACGCCGCGUGAGUGAAGAAGGCUUUCGGGUCGUAAAACUCUGUUGUUGGAGAAGAAUGGUCGGCAGAGUAACUGUUGUCGGCGUGACGGUAUCCAACCAGAAAGCCACGGCUAACUACGUGCCAGCAGCCGCGGUAAUACGUAGGUGGCAAGCGUUAUCCGGAUUUAUUGGGCGUAACUGCGAGCGCAGGGGGUUUUUUAAGUCUGAUGUGAAAGCCCUCGGCUUAACCGAGGAAGUGCAUCAGAAACUGGGAAACUUGAGUGCAGAAGAGGACAGUGGAACUCCAUGAGGUAGCGGUGAAAUGCGUAGAUAUAUGGAAGAACACCAGUGGCGAAGGCGGCUGUCUGGUCUGUAACUGACGCUGAGGCUCGAAAGCAUGGGUAGCGAACAGGAUUAGAUACCCUGGUAGUCCAUGCCGUAAACGAUGAAUGCUAGGCGUUGGAGGGUUUCCGCCCCUCAGUGCCGCAGCUAACGCAUUAAGCAUUCCGCCUGGGGAGUACGACCGCAAGGUUGAAACUCAAAGGAAUUGACGGGGGCCCGCACAAGCGGUGGAGCAUGUGGUUUAAUUCGAAGCAACGCGAAGAACCUUACCAGGUCUUGACAUCUUUUGAUCACCUGAGAGAUCAGGUUUCCCCUUCGGGAGCAAAAUGACAGGUGGUGCAUGGUUGUCGUCAGCUCGUGUCGUGAGAUGUUGGGUUAAGUCCCGCAACGAGCGCAACCCUUAUGACUAGUUGCCAGCAUUUAGUUGGGCACUCUAGUAAGACUGCCGGUGACAAACCGGAGGAAGGUGGGGAUGACGUCAAAUCAUCAUGCCCCUUAUGACCUGGGCUACACACGUGCUACAAUGGAUGGUACAACGAGUUGCGAGACCGCGAGGUCAAGCUAAUCUCUUAAAGCCAUUCUCAGUUCGGACUGUAGGCUGCAACUCGCCUACGCGAAGUCGGAAUCGCUAGUAAUCGCGGAUCAGCACGCCGCGGUGAAUACGUUCCCGGGCCUUGUACACACCGCCCGUCACACCAUGAGAGUUUGUAACACCCGAAGCCGGUGGCGUAACCCUUUUAGGGAGCGAGCCGUCUAAGGUGGGACAAAUGAUUAGGGUGAAGUCGUAACAAGGUAGCCGUA